CACAAGUGAACUGUGCAUAAACAGGUGAACGCCGCGCAGCUCGCGAGAGGAGCGCUGCUGCUUAUGAGAGUCAGCUCACAGGCUCCUGGAAAUCAGCUGCCCAUGAUUGUUUGAUAGCCCAUGGCGAUGGCCAGAUAUUUCAGUGUUCUCCUUCUGGUUCUUCCAGUUGUGGCUCAGGAGCUGCCCUCUGCCCCACACGGCUGCAUGGAAGGCAGCUGUUAUCCGGCGACGGGAAACCUUCUGAUUGGCCGAGCUAUUAACCUGACUGCCACCUCCACCUGUGGCCUGGAUGGGCCUGAGCAGUACUGCAUUGUCAGUCAUUUGCAGGAUUUAAAUAAGUGCUUUAAGUGUGACUCUCAGAUGCCGUAUGAUGCCUAUCAUCACGACAACAGCCACAGGGUAGAGAAUGUCAUCUACCAGAGAGACAGCAGAGGAGAACUCACCUGGUGGCAAUCUGUAAAUGGAGAGGAGAAUGUCAGUAUUAGACAGAAUCUUGAGGCAGAGUUCCAUUUUACUCAUUUCAUCAUGAAGUUUAAAACGUUUAGGCCUGCUGCUAUGAUAAUUGAGCGUUCUUCUGAUUUUGGCCGUACAUGGAGGCCAUAUCGCUACUUUGCCUACAACUGCACCAAGACUUUCCCCUGGAUUCCUGCCCACUCGCUGCGGUUUAUUGAUGAGGUCAUCUGUGAGGAGCGCUACUCUGACAUUGAGC
rnacentral:lncRNA from 1 species